rnacentral:rRNA from 1 species
AAGAGUGGAAAAACUCCCUUGACGGUACUUAAUGAAUAAGCCCUGGCUAAUUAUGUGCCAGCAGCCGCGGUAAUACAUAAGGGGCGAGCGUUAUCCGGAAUUAUUGGGCGUAAAGGGUGCGUAGGCGGUUUAAUAAGUCUAUAGUUUAAUUUCAGCGCUUAACGCUGUUGCGCUAUAGAAACUGUUUUACUAGAGUGAGUUAGAGGCAAGCGGAAUUCCAUGUGUAGCGGUAAAAUGCGUAAAUAUAUGGAGGAACACCAGAGGCGUAGGCGGCUUGCUGGGACUUUACUGACGCUGAGGCACGAAAGCGUGGGGAGCAAACAGGAUUAGAUACCCUGGUAGUCCACGCCGUAAACGAUGAGUACUAAGUGUCGGGUAAAACCGGUACUGAAGUUAACACAUUAAGUACUCCGCCUGAGUAGUACGUACGCAAGUAUGAAACUUAAAGGAAUUGACGGGACUCCGCACAAGCGGUGGAUCAUGUUGUUUAAUUCGAAGAUACACGAAAAACCUUACCAGGUCUUGACAUUUUCUUGCGAAGUUAUAGAAAUAUAAUGGAGGUUAUCAGGAAAACAGGUGGUGCAUGGUUGUCGUCAGCUCGUGUCGUGAGAUGUUAGGUUAAGUCCUAAAACGAGCGCAACCCUUGUCGUUAAUUGCCAGCAUGUAAUGAUGGGGACUUUAACGAGACUGCCAAUGAAAAAUUGGAGGAAGGUGGGGAUUACGUCAAAUCAUCAUGCCCCUUAUGAUCUGGGCUACAAACGUGAUACAAUGGUUGAUACAAAGAGUAGCUGAAACGCGAGUUCUUAGCCAAUCUCACAAAAUCAAUCUCAGUUUCGG